rnacentral:rRNA from 1 species
GACGAACGCUGGCGGCGUGCUUAACACAUGCAAGUCGAGCGGUAAGGCCCUUUCGGGGGUACACGAGCGGCGAACGGGUGAGUAACACGUGGGUGACCUGCCCUCAGCUCUGGGAUAAGCCUGGGAAACCGGGUCUAAUACCGGAUAUGACUCCAUGACGCAUGUUGUGGGGUGGAAAGCCUUGUGCGGCUGAGGAUGGGCCCGCGGCCUAUCAGCUUGUUGGUGGGGUGAUGGCCUACCAAGGCGACGACGGGUAGCCGGCCUGAGAGGGCGACCGGCCACACUGGGACUGAGACACGGCCCAGACUCCUACGGGAGGCAGCAGUGGGGAAUCUUGCGCAAUGGGCGAAAGCCUGACGCAGCGACGCCGCGUGAGGGAUGACGGCCUCG